rfam:Physcomitrella patens subsp. patens PHYPAscaffold_685 genomic scaffold, whole genome shotgun sequence.
AACUCUCAGCAACGGAUAUCUUGGCUCUUGCAACGAUGAAGAACGCAGCGAAAUGCGAUACGUAGUGUGAAUUGCAGAAUUCCGUGAAUCAUCGAGUUUUUGAACGCAAGUUGCGCCCGAGGCUCGUCCGAGGGCAUUCCUGCCAGAGCGUCA